CAACAGCUGUAAUGUGAAAGGGCCAUGCCAAGAACAACAGAGCACAGUGGAGUUCCUGUCCCUUCUAGGAGGACAGCUGAAGCUGUGGCCGGAUUUAACAACAAAACAAAACAAACAAAAAUCCAGGCCAAGGUUUUUAAGAUGAAAGGAAAAAAUACAGUAAUUAGAAUUCAGAAAUUAAAAAGUACUCUCUAUAGAAAGGUGCCCAGGCUGCUUAGUGGACUCUUGGCUCCUUUUCACUGGUGAAGAAAAACAAACAUCAAGUGUACUACUUUUCUUCCCGGAAUUAGGGAAAUAUUUUCCAAGUCCAUCUUGUGCAUGGCUCCUGUAUUGAGACCUUAUUCGGACUAUGUCUGUCCUUCUGUACUGGAAAACUGAUCUGCGAGAAUUACUCUGAUGCGUGCCUUCGCUACUUUUCUUCUGUUUUAAUACUUCGCAUAUAUAUAUAUGCAUACAUACAUACACCAAGCUUUGCUUUAAUUCAGUUAGGUUUGUCUGGAAUAUACUUUGACACAUGAAUAAAAAUGUUUCCGAUUUUCUUC